GAUGAACGCUGGCGGCGUGCCUAAUACAUGCAAGUCGAGCGAACGGACGAGAAGCUUGCUUCUCUGAUGUUAGCGGCGGACGGGUGAGUAAAACGUGGAUAACCUACCUAUAAGACUGGGAUAACUUCGGGAAACCGGAGCUAAUAACGGAUGAUAUUUUGAACCGCAUGGUUCAAAAGUGAAAGCCGGUCUUGCUGUCACUUGUAGAUGGAUCCGCGCUGCAUUAGCUAGUUGGUAAGGUAACGGCUUACCAAGGCAACGAUGCAUAGCCGACCUGAGAGGGUGAUCGGCCACACUGGAACUGAGACACGGUCCAGACUCCUACGGGAGGCAGCAGUAGGGAAUCUUCCGCAAUGGGCGAAAGCCUGACGGAGCAACGCCGCGUGAGUGAUGAAGGUCUUCGGAUCGUAAAACUCUGUUAUUAGGGAAGAACAUAUGUGUAAGUAACUGUGCACAUCUUGACGGUACCUAAUCAGAAAGCCACGGCUAACUACGUG
rnacentral:rRNA from 1 species